rnacentral:tRNA from 2 species
GCGCCGAUGGUCUAGAGGCAUGACUAGGGCCUUCCAAGCCCUAAGCCCGGGUUCGAUCCCCGGUCGGCGCA